rnacentral:tRNA from 1 species
GUCUCUGUAGCUCAGUUGGUUAGAGCGCUGCACCGGAAUCGCAGGGCCGUAGGUUCAAUUCCUACCAGAGGACC